CCUACGGGUGGCAGCAGUGAGGAAUAUUGGUCAAUGGCCGUAAGGCUGAACCAGCCAAGCCGCGUGAAGGACGAAGGUUCCAUGCAUUGUAAACUUCUUUUAUCGGGGGAUAAAAGUAUCCACGUGUGGAUAUCUGCAUGUACCUUAUGAAUAAGCAUCGGCUAACUCCGUGCCAGCAGCCGCGGUAAUACGGAGGAUGCGAGCGUUAUCCGGAUUUAUUGGGUUUAAAGGGUGCGUAGGUGGUUUUUUAAGUCAGCGGUGAAAGUUUGGGGCUCAACCAUAAAAUUGCCGUUGAAACUGGAAGACUUGAGUGUGUUUGAGGUAGGCGGAAUGCGUGGUGUAGCGGUGAAAUGCAUAGAUAUUGCGCAGAACUCCGAUUGCGAAGGCAGCUUACUAAGCCAGAUCUGACGCUGAAGCACGAAAGCGUGGGGAUCAAACAGGAUUAGAUACCCGAGUAGUC
rnacentral:rRNA from 1 species